AUUCGGGGUUCCGGGGGGGUCACGCUCUGAUCUCGGUGGGACCUCCAAAUGAAAGAGCGUACCCCUAAACGGGGAGCUGCGUCUCUCACUCCAAUCGAGGGGUGGGGUGCCCCCAGGAAUCACGAGUAGCCGG
rnacentral:pre_miRNA from 14 species